CGGAUGAUGGCCGCACUGGAACGGAGACUCGGUCCAAACUCCCACGAGAGGCAUCCGUGGGGAAUCUUCCGCAAUGCCAAAAAGCUUGAUGGAGCAACGCCGGGUGAGUGAUGAGGGCCUUCCGGUUGUAAAACUCUGUGAUCCGGGACGAAAAGGCAGAGUGCGAAGAACAAACUGCAUUGACGGUACCGGAAAAGCAAGCCACGGCUAACUACGUGCCAGCAGCCGCGGUAAUACGUAGGUGACAAGCGUUGUCCGGAAUUAUUGGGCGUAAAGCGCGCGCAGGCGGCUUCCCAAGUCCCUCUUAAAAGUGCGGGGCUUAACCCCGUGAUGGGAAGGAAACUGGGAAGCUGGAGUAUCGGAGAGGAAAGUGGAAUUCCUAGUGUAGCGGUGAAAUGCGUAGAGAUUAGGAAGAACACCGGUGGCGAAGGCGACUUUCUGGACGAAAACUGACGCUGAGGCGCGAAAGCGUGGGGAGCAAACAGG
rnacentral:rRNA from 1 species